rnacentral:lncRNA from 1 species
CGCCCUAGGUCUAACUCAUAUUGUUAUCAGAAAAAUAUAGGGUAUAAGAUAAAAUAAUCCCAAAAAAUAAUUAAAAUGGCCUUAUUACAACCCAAAACCAAAUAAUAAUAUUAAUAAGAUAAAACUUAUAAAGAAAUAAAUCGGCUACUUAUUGCAAUUAAAAGAAACAGAAACAGUAGUGUGGCCAUCUCUGAGUCCCUCGCAGCUCCAAACCAUUUAAGCUUAGGGAUUACCUGCACAAUUAGAAAUGGGGUGAGUUUACGAAAACUCAGUGUGUAACCCCAAUAACAAACAAACAGUAAAUAACACGGUAUCAGUACAAUUUGGGCCAAAGCCCUAUUUAGUCUUGACAUAUACUGGGCCGAAGCCUUUCCAUAAAUCAUAUCACUGGGCCGAAGCCUUUACUGUAAACGAUAUGGCCCUUAUGCCCAUUUCAAUAUCACAUGUAAUGUCAAUAGUUGUAUGCAAGCCCAUUUCAAUAUCACAUGUAAUGUCAAUGAAUGUAUGCAAGCCCAUUUCAAUAUCACAUGUAAUGUCAAUGAAUGUAUGCAAGCCCAUUUGGGGAGACUACUCGACCUACCAUCCGCUACUCUCCACCCGUACCAACCAGGCUCUCCAUGUGGGGAAUAACUCAACCCACCCAACCAAACUCUCCACUGGCAGUAUAGCUGCUUUAUCAUAUAAUUGGAGGCCUAGACUCUUUUAAUAACUAGGGCAAAGCCCUUUCUGAUAAACUGGGGUAGAGCCCUUUUAGCACUUCCUCCAUCAAUAUAACCCAUAUCCCAUGCAAUAUGUCAUGUAUGCAGAAUGUCAUGCCCAUAUUUGAAUCAAACAAUCACAGUCAAGUCAUUCAUAUCACCAACAUAUAUUCACAAUCAAAUCUGUCAACCACACAGUCCAAGUCAAUCACUUGCCCACAAGGGCAAAACAGUCAUUUUUCAUAUAAUAAGGGUACUUUCAUAAUUUUACCAAAAAUAAGGGUUUUCCAUGUUCAUUACAAUUGUCAAUAUUUUUGAGUGUUUAAACAAUGAUCUUUAACCCACUUAUCAAAUUUGGGCUUUUGGGCCCAAAACCCCUAAUGGGCCCUACGAAUGCUGAUUUAGCUGCUUAACCCAAAUUUUACAACAAUACUAACAGUGUCAACAUGCAACUUUUCAAAUUUCCAUUUUCUAUCAAUUUUACCCAAAUGGGCCCAAAAGCCCCUUUGGCCCAAUUCUUGCCCAUUGAGGCCUAACUUGCCAUCGUGCACAAAAUUGAGUUCUUACCCGUUCCAUCGAUCCAAACACCGAUCUUAUCGUAUUUAUCGCAUCUAUACCCACACGCAACAUUACAAGUUCUCGAAUUGCUGGUAUUUUAGCAUUUCGACUUCUCAGCAGAUAUUAAUCUAAGCUACUACGAGGGUUAGUCCACACCUGUUAUGGGUUGAAGUUGAAACAUUUCCAUAAUCAAUCACCUACGAUAACCACCAUCUGUCACUCAAACUUAACUAAUCCAAUAUCAAUAUAUGUAAAUCCUAAGCACAUCAGUCAUACGGAACAUAAGGGCAUAUUCGUCAUUUUACCAUACAAGGGUAUUACGGUCACUUUACCCUACAGGGGCUUUACGGUCUUUUUACCUAUUAGGGGUAUUUUAGUCAUUUCAUCCUACAAGGGUGUUUUGGUAAAUCUACAAACCAAGGGUAUUUCAGUAAUUUUGUAAACUAAUGGUAUUUCUAUGAUUUUUAGAAAGUCAAGGGUAUUUCUAUAAUUUUGUAAAUCAGGGGUGUUUUGGUAAUUUUACAAAUUAAGGGUAUUUCAGUAAUUUCACAAACCAGUGGUAUUUCGGUAAUUUUACAAACUAGGGGUAUUUUGGUAAUUUUAUAAACUAAGGGUAUUUUGGUAAUUCUAUCCUACAUGGGUAUUUCAGUAAUUUCACAAUCGAGGGUAAAAUGGUAAUUUUUUAAACUGAGGGUAAAAUGGUAAUUUUGUAAAUCGAGGGUAAAACGGUAAUUCUAUAAAUCGAGGGUAAAAUGGUAAUUCUAUAAAUCAAGGGUAAAAUAGUAAUUUUGUAAAUCGAGGGUGAAACGGUAAUUCUAUAAAUCAAGGGUAAAAUGGUAAUUCUACAAAUCGAGGGCAUUUUAGUAAUUUGGUAAACUAAAGUAUUCUAAACAGGGAUAAUAAUACGAAUGGGCCUAAAGCCUAUUCUCGGCCCAAAUGGGCCCACAUGCUCAUGUGACCCUUUUAGCCCAAAUCUAGCCACAAAUAUGAGAUUCACCUAGCCUAGUCCAAUAUUUACUACACAAUCAAACAACUUAUCCAAUUGGGCUCGUAGGCCCAUUGGGCCCACAUAGCCCCUUUCGGCCCAUCGCGGCCCGAAGUAGCCAUCCUACAGCUAGAAGAGUGAGAAAUACACACCUGAUAGGAGACUGGAGUUAAUCCACGCUCUGAGCACUCUUAGCCGACGCCCAACCUAAACGAGCACGCCAUACAGCGAAAGGGAUCAG